GUUAAAAGCCAGGAAUGACAUGCUAACUGUCCAUGCUAGAAGGCCUUCAUCUUGCAUUAUCCAGCAGAUUCAUCAAGACUCUCAAGAGGAUUUGAGCAGUGAACGAGGGUGUGCUUCAGUGGGUACAUGAUGUCAGACAGUGGGCUACUGAGGGAUUCUGUAGGUACCAGAUAUGAUGACCAACAUAACCUUCAGAAAUCAACUGAACAAAUGUUUCUAGCCUUUAUAAUCAGACUGAAUCCAGCAACAUCCUCACCAAGAAGAAGAGUUUGAUGCGUACAUGUCAAAAGUGUGUCUUGAAGAGGAAAGACUGAUUGUGAUGAGGGAGAUGAGACAGCACUGCACCGAGCUCAGAAAGAUGGCUGGGAACAUCAGGACAAUGACAUCAGAAAUGAACUUUUGUUACACCUUCUUGUGUGAGAAGCUUUUGGGGAGACUGGGUUCCUACCCAACCACUGUUAUAUGUCCUUUUUAUGAACAUAGUCUUUUGAUUAAUGUGUAUUUUUAUUUUAUUU